AGGGGCGUGCCGGGAGGGAGGGCGAGAGCGAGCGUAUGCCGCCACGGUGGGAGGGUCUCAACUCCCGGCUCGCAGCAAAGGUGGGCGGCCUCGGCCGGCAACGGUCCCUGCAGAGACGGGAAACAGCACCCGUACCUUUCAGGAAGCGCAUCCACGCCUGCGGCCACCUGAGACUGCAAUGGGACCCGCAUUGCUGAGGCUGUCGCCACGCACAAGAUGGCAGCCGGGACUGCGAGCCCCGGGAGACGAAGCCUCCCAGCGCGCUGCGCGGCCCCUCCCGUCCCAGGCCCGGCCACCCGCGCCACCCUGCGUCGCCUGCUCGUGGGCGCCCCUGGCCACGGCGAGGCAUGGCUCUGGCCCGGAGCAGCACGGGACAGGCGGAGAGGUCACUGUCACCCCUUCUGUCCCUCUGUGUAGAUGGCCAUUAACAGACAACAGGCUCAUGAAUGCAGUAUUGCAGCUUUGCUCUGUACACACAAAACCCACAAGCCAGUCUGUAACCUCGUCUGUCAGUUAAUUUAAAAAUGCAGUAAAUGUGAGAGGAAAAGGGCAAGAGACAUGAGUGAAAAAACGUGAGGGAAACGUGAGGGGAGAAAAGGGCAGGAAACAUGAGAGGAAAGCAUAAGAAACAUGGGGGGAGAGAAAAGUCAGGAAAUGUGAGGGGGAAAGGUGGGAAACACGAGGGGGAAAAAGGCAAGAAAUGUGAUGAGGAAAAGGGCAGGAAGUGUGAGGGAGAAAGUGUGAGAAACAUGAAGGGGGAAAGUGGGGAACAUGCGCGGGAAAAAGGCCAGGGAAUGGGACAGGAAAAGGGUGGGAAACAAGCAGAAAAAAGCGUGAGAAAUGUGAGGGGGAAAUUAUGAGAAACACAAAGGGGAAAGUUUGGGAAACGAGGGGAAAAGGGUGGGAAACAUGAGUGAAAAAAAGAGGGGGAAAAUGAAAGAAACAUGAGGGGAAAUGGUGGGCAACAUCAGAGGGAAAAGGACAGAAAACCUGAGGAGAGGAAAAAGGGCAGGAAACCUGAAGAGGAAAGUGCUAAAACGAGAGGGGGAAGGUCUUGAGAAACGUGAGGGGAAAAGUGUGAAGAACAUGAGAGGGAAAGUAGGAGAAAAGUGAGGGGAGAAAAAGUCUAGAAAUAAUGUGAGGGGAAAAGUGUGAGAGAUGUAAGGGGGAAAGUGAAGAGUACUAGUUUGACUUAGUAAGAAAGACUGAAUUGCAGUGCAAAAUCAGUAGCUCUGCUCACCUUGAGUUCUAGCUGUCCAAAGGACAGUUCUCUGCAGGCACAGCUACACAAAGUUUGGCUUCCCAGUGCUGCUGAAAACGUCCUAGCAUCCCACCAUACUGGAAGUUGCUUUCCAUGCUUAGUCAGAAGUUCUGUGUAACCUUAGUUGAAAUGUAAGACCUGCAGAGAGUGACUUCUGCUCUCUGACUGGGGGACAGACUCCUGGGUUUGGAUGAGGUUUCUCUUCUUCUGAUGUUUUAAAUGUUCUCAGAAUCCACAUGUAAAUCUUUAUCUACAGGAGGAAGCUGAAAAUAAACAAAAGAGAGAGCAGCUGGAACACUUGUGGAAGGACAUGGGCAGUGUGUGUGUGCAGGGCAGCACACUGGCAGGUACCUCCCCAGGAAGGUAAAGGUUACUGCAGAAGUUUUCUGAAGAGUUUGCCUUGUGAAGUAAUACAGUGCUUCUUUGUCCUCACAAGAAGUGUGAAAGCAGCUCCAUGUUAGAGGAGUGGGGCUUUAGUUCCUGUGGGAUUGGUCACACUUAGCUCUUCCUGUGUCAGUCACAGGUUUGGAAGAAACCCCACUGUGUAGCUAAAGCAGUGGACCUACUAGAAAUAAUGAAAUACUUUAGAAAAGGUGAAAUGGUCAGAUUAGAAUAUGAGAAAGCUCUGCUGUUGGCUGCACUGUUCCUUAUAUGAGCCAAGUAGGUGCUGAUGGAGUCUGUCCUGUGUCUGGGAUCCACAAGCAGCUUUCUGUCCCCUUAGAGCAGGUGUUCAUUGCUUUGUUUCUGUGUAGAUAGAAACCUUACCUUUAGCAAGCUGGUUUGUGUACAGCCGUUUCUGUUCCCUUCAAGGACCUGAUGCUUCUGCAAUGGGUCCCUCUGAGCUAAUACUAACAAUGAGGAACUCUUGAUGAAGAGCAAGAAGAGAGGGAGGGUGACACUGAUGACAUUGACCAUGAAGUAACACAAGUAGAACAAGUACUGAAAUAGCGCUGAACUGUCGUUUCUUCCCCCAGUGACUGAGGAGGGUCAUGAAGAACCAGCUUUCAGAAACUUUAUGCAGGACAUGCGGAUGAAAUGCCAGAGGAGAAGCAACCUGAAUGAAUGAGACCUUCAGAAACAGAAGUAACUUUUGGUCCGAUGAGUUAAAGGUCUUGCAGUCAACUGACUGCACAUUUGGUCAUCUGCCACUGUGGCUUCCUGAAGCUGAAGGAACCAGAAAGCAGUUUCUUUAACUGCAAAUUAUUCAGAUCUCUCUGUUGAGAGCUUAGAUUUUGAGCUCUGACAGCAUUAGCAUCCAGAGUACUCACUGGUCCCCAGAGGCACCUUCCGUUUGCUGAGUGCAGUCAGGCAUCUGCUGCAGCCAGGGCACAACUUGAUCGAUCUACUGUUUGAUGUUUUGGUUUUCAUUAAAGAGAUUUUACGUACUAAGAAAUGCAUGAUGGUUAAUAGAAG